UUUUUUUUUUUUUUUUUUUUGCCAGAAAUCAAGAGGCAACGCUGGCAAAACUCCAAAGGAAAGAUCAUUCAUUGAUCAAAAUGCACCCUCACAGAGUUCCGGUCGUGGCGCAGUGGUUAACGAACCCGACUAGUAACCGUGAGGUUGUGGGUUUGAUCCUUGGCCUCACUCAGUGGGUUAAGGAUCCAGCACUGCCGUGAGCUGUGGCGUGGGUCGCAGACGCGGCUCAGAUCCUGCGUUGCUGCGGCUGUGGUGUGGACCGGCAGCUGUAGCUCCGAUUCGACCCCUCGCCUGGGAACCUGCAUAUGCCACGGGUGCACCCUAAAAAAAAGACCAGAAAAAGGCACCCUUAACUGUUAAUAUACAGCCUACCACUAAUGCCAGCACUACCCCAGUGACCAUCGAUUGACUGUGCUGUGUGUAACACAUUACACACUGAAUGAGAAAAGCUGCUUCCCGUACCUGUGGACAUACUUGAGCAUAGUUUGAAAUCGGAUGUGGAGGAAGGGAGGUGCUCUGGAACCAGGCUUCCCGGGUAUAAAGUCACCGCUGCCACAUGCUAGCUGUGUGACCUCUGGCAAAGCCUUUAACCUCUCUGUGCACCAGUCUCCCCUCUGUACCCGGGCAAAACAAGGCCUGUCUCAAAGUGAACUCGCAAUAAAUGCCAGCUUUCAUUUCUAAGGAGCCUCAGGAUUAAGACGGAGCAGUAAAAGGCCCGGGGUGUCAAGCAGUUUAUGAAGCCUCCUCGUCGUCUGAAAUCAGGGCUGAAUUAUUUUGUUCUUCCUUAAUCGCUGUGAGCUUGGGUUACAGCCAGGGACGCAGCCCUUCCUGUCCAUCUGUUUUUUGGGGGUGAGGGCACCAGGCACCCAGCCCACUGUUCCUUUGAUCUCUGUUCUGCCAGACCCGAAACUCCGCUCAAGUCUGUGAGGCCCAUCUCACUGUCAAGUCCCCAGAAUGUGCCGACAAAAGUCGGGUCUGGAGUUCCCACUGUGGCUCAGCGAGUUACAAACCCAACAUGGUGUGUGUGAGGACGCAGCUGUGAUCCCUGGCCUCGCUCAGUGGGUUGAGGAUCCAGCGUUGCCGAAAGCUGCAGCACAGGUCUCAGAUGCAGCUCAGAUCCCGUGUGGCUGUGGCUGUGGCAGAGGCCCCAGGCGAAGCUCUGAUUCGACCCCUAGCCUGGGAACUUCCAUAUGCCGAGGGUGCGGCCCCCCAAAAACAGUCAGGCCUUUUAAUUACAUUCUACUCUCCCAUCCAACGGCCCUGAGGGUCUUCAGGCAGAGGCAGCCCCCACGACAGAGGGUCCUGACAGCACCCUCGUAGGGCCUGUUGAAGAAGUAUUUCUUAAUGACACCCGUUAAAGCAGGUAGUAAGGCAGGCUGUACUGGGAGCCGCGCGAUACGUGCAGGGACCACUGGGAUGGGGGGUUGCAGUGGGGAGAGAGCUGGGGCUGACCUGCACAUACAACAAGGAAAAGGGGGAACGUGUAACCAAGGAGCAAAGGGGCGUGGCGCCGGGACAGAGCCUAAGGGCCUCGCCACAGGGACACCCGAGGCUCCACCGGGGCAGGAUGAAGCGCUCAUCCAGCCCCUCAGCACCCUGGGACCAGGAGGCUUUGGCUGGUUUUGUACUUCUUUCUUUCUUUCUUUCGCUUUUUAGGGCCACACCCACGGCAUAUGGAAGGUCCCAGGCUAGGGGUCAAAUCGGAGCUGCAGCUGCCAGCCACAGCCACAGCCACUCAGGAUCCUACACCACAGUUCACAGCAACGUCAGAUCCUUAACUCACUGAGCAAGGCCAGGGCUCGAACCCAGUUCCUCGUGGACACUAGUCUGAGCCACGACGGGAGCGCCUCUCUGUGUCCUUCUUGGUCCAUGUGCUGGAAUCAGUGUUUUCCCUGUGUGGAUACCAAACUCUUCCGGCCCUUUCUGUCUAACAUCAGAAGAAAAACUUGGUUUCCGGUGAGCCUCUGUUGAUGGACACAGAGCCAAGAGGACAGAGGAAAGUCCCCGCCUUCCCAGACGGCCUUCCUCUGGGGGCAGGCGGGACGGAGCAGGCGAGGGGGAGGGAGGCGUGACCUGGAGUCCAACCCCCAGAGCGGCUGACCCCCCGUCAGUAACAAGCGUCCCCUUGCACUCGGCUCGACGUGGUCCCUUUCCUCGGCCCUAGAGCCACGGCACAGACCUCCCGUCCACAGGGUUUCUGCCAUCCCCCCGCCCCCGCGCCGCAGCCCCAGCCGGGCUCAGAGGAGGCCCCGCAGAGGCACAGGGCUGAGCUUGUCUUCAGGUGUUCUGGCCAGCAGGUGCUCAAACUCAGGCCACACGUGCACGUGAGCCCGUGUGUGCAGACACACACACACACACACACACACAUACACUGGACGUACCCAGAAGGAGCGGGCCCGCCCUAAGAGUUUACGAAGGCGCCUGACCGCCACCAAGCAGGGUGCACAGAGCCGUGUCUAUGUCUGACUCCCUGCAAGUGACAACCUCCACAGGUAGGAAGAGGGACAAAUGCAGCUUCCUUCCAGCCCAAACACACAGGCAGUUUUCUCACUGGAGCUGCAAGAAUGGAUCGUUUGGGGGGAAAUAACAUAAAAAUCUAAGAGCCCUGCUUCCCAGGCUGGAAGACAGACCAGAUCUAUUCAUUCAGCGCGCAUUAUAACCCACUGCUUAAUUAAUAAACAGCCGCGCGCUCUCUGCAGAGAGGAAGCACCGAGCAAUCCCCCGGGCUGGCAUCCUGGCCGGGAGGCCCACUCAAGACGGGGACAGUGACUCAGCUGAAGUGUUACCUUUUCAGGGAGACGUUCCCUGAACCCACGUCCGAUCUGUAUGUUCCUGCCUUAUUCUGCAUGGAAUUCUGCAUUUCCCCUGCUUUUACUCAUUAAGCGUCUGAGUACUUGCGAGUGCACAGCUCCUGCCAUCUUGGCUGUUUCCUUGCAUCCCUGACGAGACGACAAAAACAAAACCAGUGACGAAGCAAACCCGUGCCAAGGUGUCUUGAGCUGCAUCAAGGAGUUCCGUCUGAACAAGGGAACACGGCCCCUUCCUAACUGUGCCUGAAGACAGGCUCCCUCUCCACCAGGACACGGCUGCAACCAGAAAUCUGCUUUCCCGUCUGACGAGGUUUGUGCACCUUCGGAUGCUGCCAGUGCCCUCCUGUCUGGUUCAGGACCCCACCGAGGAGUGGGGCGUCUCCCUAGGAACAUUCAUGAACGCGGACACGCCUGCCGGUGGCCCUCGUGUGGGAGGAAACCAUGCUUGUCCCGUGUCCCUUACACAUCACAUACUCUGUCCUGAGCUUAACACGCCCGACAGUCUUAAUACCGCAUGAGCACAGGGAUCGAGGCUCUGCCGCGGCGAAUCCUCUAUGAAGUGAGUUCUACCUAUCAGCAUGUGCCCACUUUACAGACGAGGAGACUGGGGCGCCGAGAACAGCCCUCCCCAGGUCCCGCAAGCGUAGGGCCAGGAUUCAAAUCCAGCCCGCGUUUCUCCACGUCUAGGCGCCUGUCCCUGCACCGGAAAAAGCUGCUGGAGCAUGACCCUCUCCCCGUCAGGAGAACCUGGGCAUCCCUGCCAGCCGGGACCCGUCGGGAGGGCUGCUGGGUUCGCUGGGAAUUAUACCCUCCUGCCUACAGCAGGUGCCUCGGAAGCACAGGCCCUGCGAGGCCCAGGAGGAAAAAGAACAGGACGAGAUCGGAAAGCCUCCUUCGCCUCAGGCUACAUGCCGCCACCUGCUCAGGACCAACCGCCCUCCCCUCCCCCCUUUCCCCUUCCCCACCCAGCUGUUCAGGAUGGGCCUGUGCCCACCUUUGCCUCCUCGGCCUUGGUGUGCACACCGUUCAAGUGGGUACCAUCGUGUCUGUCCUGUAGAGCUGCCGUGGAGAGUCAGUGUUGGAAGAGUCCUCCUGCACCUGACAAGGUGUCUAGCACAAGCUGGUCAGCCAACAAGAGCUCUUGCUAUUAUUUCCUGGGGGGUCCUUGGACUCAUUCCUCCACCCAACGGAGGGAGGCAGGGGAACAGCCCUCUGGCCGGGGGAAGAGUACAACUGCCAUGAGCAUCUCUGAGAAUUUUUGGUGCAUCGUCAGAGUAAAAAGCUAACAGACUUGUACUCUUUUUAUUUUCUUGUCUUUUUAGGGCCACUCGAAUCAGAGCUACAGCUGCCAGCCUACGCCACAGCCACAGCAACGCCAGAUCCAAGUCACAUCCGCAACCUACACCACAGCUCACGGCAAUGCUGGAUCCUUAACCCACUGAGCGAGGCCAGGGAUCGAGCCUGUGUCUUCACGGAUACUAGUCAGGUUUGUUACCACUGAGCCGUGAUGGGAUCUCUGCAAACAGACUUUUGGUGGGUUUUGCUAUUGCUUUUAAAUUCUCUGCAGACAACAUACUGCCUUCCCUGCAUGAUGCCCGCCACACGCCACAGCCGAAACGUCUUCCAACUUCCCCAGAAAGGGAAGAGAGUGAUGGCAGCCGUCUCCUUGACGCCUCGUCCCCAGGGCCUUCAUAACACUUCAGGGGAAAGAGAAAGCUGUUCCUCGGCACACCAUGUGGCUCCGACCAUAGUGGGCCUCCCUGAAAUGCUGUCCCCGGAGAGGGAGACGCACGUGCAAAGCACACCCCUGGGAAAGGACCCGCUGGCCAGGAGGGCUGGAGUGGGGGCGGGAAGGGACAGAGCUGAGAUGAGCCAGGGAAGAGGCAGGGGAUGAGCUUCUAGAGCCAUGCAGCCCCUGUUAAGAGUUUUCUGUUAUCUGGAGUUCCCGUCAUGGCGCAGCGGAAGUGAAUCCAACUAGGAACCAUGAGGACGCAGGUUCGAUCCCUGGCCUUGCUCAGUGGGUUAAGGAUCCAGCGUUGCUGUGAGCUGUGGCGUAGGUCCCAGAUGUGGCUUGAAUCCCGUGUUGCUGUGGCUGUGGCGCAGGCCAGCGGCUACAGCCCCGAUUAGACCCCCAGCCUGGGAACCUCCAUAUGCCGCAUGUGUGGCCCUAAAAGAAAAAGAAAAUGAAAAAAGGAAAAAAAAAAA
rnacentral:lncRNA from 1 species